rnacentral:lncRNA from 1 species
GUCAAUGCGGUGGUGUAAAGGUUGGGUGAGAACUGGACGUGUUGCAUCAUUAUCAAGCAGACCCAUCCCCAGCAACAUCAACCUAAAGAAGGAAAGCCCAGUUUGCAUUUCCUUCACUUUCGAAGGUCACAGAGAUCAUUACGAAAAACGUGCCAUGUGACGGCGGAGAGGUUGGGUGAGAACGACACGUGUAACAUCAUUAUCAAGCAGGUUCAAAAGCCGCAAGGCUUUAGAGGUGGGUCAGGGUGAGAAAAAGUCUUAUAAAAGGAGAGAGAAGAGACGAUUAAAAUCAGUCGAGUGAGGAUCUCCGACACGGUAACAACUGCAGCGCUCUUGCAUUUUUCAAUGUAAUUAGUUCGCAAUCUCUGUAAUCUAUGGCGUUGUGCUGCUGCAUUGGGUGUUGAAUCAUUGAUGAUUGGGUCGACCACUGGUGUACUGAUGUCUCCUGGCCCUGUGUAGUGUAUGGUUGAUAUCAAAGCACAACAUUGCUGUCUUAUUACUCAACAUCAACCAAUGCUGUUCCAGCUUACACCACCAAGGCUCCAAUGUACUACACCACCAAGGCUUUAGAGUAUUACAAGUUGCAUUAAAGGAGAGAAAAGGCUUUUCCGACCCGACAACAACUGCCGUGCACAAUUUGUCACCAACUGCCUUUUCAUCGUAUAAAGGGUAAACUGUGGCGUCGGAUCAAAUACUACACCAACGAGGCUUCAAAGUAUUACACUACAAUUUAUGCUGCUUCGAGAUGUAUCACCAAAGAGCCCGAACCCAUCCCCGGCAACAUCAACCUGCAGAUGGGCCGACCAUUACGUAAAACUGUCAAUGCGGUGAUGUAGAGGUUGGGCGAGAACGGGAAGUGUUUGCUUCAUUAUCAAGCAGGUAUAAUAGCCGUAAGGCUUAAGAGAGGGGUCAGGGUGAGAAAAAGUCGUAUAAAUGGCAAGAGAAAAGUCGACAGCGAUCAGUCGAGUGAGUAUCUUCAACACAGCAACAACUGCAUCGCAAUAUUUGUCACCAACUGCCUUCUUCAUUGUACAACCAAUUCACAAUUUUGGGCGCCGUGCUGCUGUUUGGUGUUGUAUCGCUAAUGGUUGGGUCGACCACGGGUGUACCGAUGUCUCCUGGAUAUGGUGGAUACCAAGCAACAGCAGCGAAAGAAUACUACACCACGUCGCCGCCUUACUACACAACAACGUCUAGAUACGCAUCAUCUACUAACUACGCCGAGGCCCUCAAGUGCAACACCACCAAGGAACAAUAGUUACGCUACAAAUUACGCUGCCCCGAGUUGAUCACCAAAGCGCCUGAGUACUACAUCACCGAGGCUCCCAAGUACUACACCACCGAGUAUUCUGUCCCAGCCUACUACACCGCGGUCCCCAAGUACUACACGACUACGAAUGCUUCCUCAGCCUACUACACCGAGGCUCGAACUUAUUUCAAUACCACAGCGGUCGAGUACUACACCGAAUCACACAAGUACUACUCUGCCCCGAACUACACAACUACAACUUAGGCGGCGAAGUACUACUUAGCCCAGGCUUACAACACAGCAGCUGCUCCUUCGUACUACAUUGAACCGAAAUACUACACCGAGUAUUACACUACACCCAAAGGGAUUCAAGGCCAACGUUUCAUCGAGGCUCCUUAGUAUUAAACAGCAACCUACGCUGUUCCAUCUUAGGAAACAUGGUUAACCAUGGCUUCGUGCUCCUUGAUGGUUGGGUGGACCACUGGUGUACCGAUGUCUUCGAGUACGGUGGAUACUAAACCGCAACGCCGGCGUCUUACUACACAUCAACAUACGCAAUAACCGGAUGCUACACCACCAACACCCUAGAGUGUCACACUGCAACAUAUGAUUCCCCGAACUUCUACACCGAAGCAUCAAAGUAUAACUAUGCCCAAAGUUACAGCACGAAGGCAGCGGAGUAGUACAGCACGAAGGCAGCGGAGUAGCACAGCGCGAAGGCAGCGGA